AACGAACGCUGGCGGCGUGUUUAAGACAUGCAAGUCGCACGGUGUCAUUUUGGUUGCAGUACUUGGAUGGCACAGUGGCGCACGGGUGAGUAACACGUGAAUGACAUGCCCUUCAGAGGGGGAUAGCCCAGGGAAACUUGGAUUAAUACCCCAUGGUCUCGCAAGAGUAAAGGUGGCCGCAAGGCUGUCGCUGGAGGAUUGGUUCGCGUUCUAUCAGCUUGUUGGCGGGGUAACGGCCCACCAAGGCUACGACGGAUACCUGGUCUGAGAGGACGAUCAGGCACACUGGAACUGAGACACGGUCCAGACACCUACGGGUGGCAGCAGUCGAGAAUAAUUCACAAUGGGGGCAACCCUGAUGGUGCAACGCCGCGUGGAGGAUGAAGGUCUUCGGAUUGUAAACUCCUGUCAUCCGGGAGCAAGACCUGACGGUGAAUAGCCGGCAGGGUUGAUAGUACCGGAAGAGGAAGGGACGGCUAACUUCGUGCCAGCCGCCGCGGUAAAAC
rnacentral:rRNA from 1 species